GGCCUUUCCCCCUUGAUCACUAAUUGAGAAAAUGCCUUACAGUUGUAUCUCAUGGAGGCAUUUCCCCAACUGAAUCUCCUUUUUCUGUGAUAACUCCAGCUGUGUCAAGUUGACACAAAACUAGCCAGUAUAAAACCCAAUACCAAUAUUCUUCAAACUAUAACAUUAAAUAGAAACAAAAGGAACACUACCUAAUUCAUUCUAUGAAGCCACAAUUACUUUGAUACCUAAACCACACAAAGACCCAACAAAAAAAGAGAACUUCAGACCGAUCUCACUUAUGAAUAUUGAUACAAAAAUAUUCAAUAAAAUUCUUGCAAACAAAAUCCAAGAACACAUCAACAUCAUAAUUCUCCAAAAUCAAGUAGGCUUCAUUCCAGGGAUGCAAGGUUGGUUCAAUAUAUGAAAAUCCAUUAACUUAAUCUACUAUAUAAAUAAACUCAAAGAAAAAAGUCACAUGAUCAUCUCCUUAGAUGCAGAAAAAGCAUUUCACAAAAUACAACACCCCUUAAUGUUAAAAGUAUUGGACAGACCAGGAAUUCAAUUCUACCUAAACAUAAUAAAAGCAAUUUACUGAAAACCAACAGCCAAUAUCGAAUUAAGUGGAGAGAUACUUGAAGCAAUCCCAAUAAAAUCGGGGACAAGACAAGGAUGUUCACUCUCCUCGUAUCUAUUCAGUAUAGUACUUGAAGUGCUAGCUAGAACAAUUUAGACAGCCAAAAGAGAUCAAGGGGAUACAAAUUGGCAAAGAAGAAAUAAAGGUAUCACUAUUUGCCGAUAAUAUGAUAGUAUACAUAAAAGACCCCCAAAAUUCUACCAGACAACUUCUCCAGCUGAUAAACCCCUUCAGCAAAAUGCCCAGAUAUAAAAUUAGCUCAAGUAAAUCAGUGGCCUUCCUUUAUACAAGUGAUAAACAGGCUGAGAAAGAAAUUAGGGACAAAACUCCCUUACAAUAGCCACACAUAAUAUAAAAUAUCUUGGGGUAACUCUAACCAAAUGAGUGAAAAAUUUGUAUGACAAUAAUUUCAAGUUUCUCAAGAAAGAAUUCGAAGAAGAUCUCAGAAAAUGGAGAGAUCUUCCAUGCUCAUGGAUUGGCACAACUAACACAAUAAAAAUAGCCAAACUACCAAAGGCAAUCUAUAGAUUCAAUGCAGUGCCUAUUAAAAUCACAACACAAUUCUUCAAAGACAUGGAAAGAGCAAUUCUCAAAUGUAUCUGGAAAGGCAAAAAACUCUGAAUAGUGAAAACAAUUUUUUAUUAGAAAUUUUCUUUAUUUACAUUUUAAAUGUUAUCCCCUUUCCUCUUCUCUCCUCUGAAAAUUCCCUAUCCUGUCCCCACUCCACCUGCUCCCCAACCCACAUACUCCCAUUCCUGGCUCUGGCAUUCUCCUAUACUGGGGCAUAGAACCUAUUGAGAACAAUUCUUAACAAUAAAAGAAUGGCUGGGGGAAACCACCAUCCGUGACCUCAACCUAUACUGCAGAACAAUAUUGAUAAAAACUUCAUGGUAUUGGUACAGAGACAGACAUGUUGAUCAGUGGAAUAGAAUUGAAGACCCAGAAAUGAUCCAACACAUCUACAGUCACUUGAUCUUUGACAAAGAAGCCAAAAAUAUAUAAUGGAUAAAAGAAAGCAUCUUCAAUAAAUGGAGCUCAUCUAACUGGCUGUGUGUAUGUAGAAAAUGAAAAUAGACCCAUAUUUGUCACUUUGCCCAAAGCUUGAGUGCAAGUACAUGGAGGACCUCAAAAAAACACCAGAUACACCGAAUCUAAUAGAAGAGAAAGUGGGAAUGAACUUUGAACUCAUUGGCACAGGGGGCAAUUUCCUAAACAGAACUCCAAUGGCAAACACAUGUAAGAUCAAGAAUUGAUAAAUGGGACCCCAUGAACUGGAAAGCUUCUAGAAGGCAAAGGACAUAGUCAAUAGGACAAAUUGGCAACCUAUAGAUUGGGAAAAAUCUUAAGUAACCCCACAUCUGGUAGAGGGCUAAUAAUAUCCAAAAUAUAUAAAGAACUCAAGAAGCUACGCACAAAAAAACCAAACAACCCAAUCAAAAAAUGGGGUAUAGAACUAAAGAGAAUUCACAACAAAGGAGUCUUAAAUGGCUGAUAAGCACCUAAAGAAAUGUUCAAAGUCACUAGUGAUCAGGGAAAUGCAAAUCAAAAUGACCCUUAGAUUCCACCCUACACCAAUCAGUAUUGCUAAGUUUAAAAUCCCAGGUGACAGCACAUGUUGGAAAGGAUGUGGAAAAAGAGGAACACUCUUCCAAUGCUGGUGGGGUUACAAACUGGUACAACCACUCUGGAAAUUAAUCUUGAGGCUCCUCAGAAAAAUGAAAAUAGGUCUACCUGAAGACCCAGCUAUACCACUCAUGGGAAUAUACCCAAAAGAUGCCCCAGAGGGGCAUGUGUUCCACUAUGUUCAGAGUGACUUUGUGAUAGCCAGAAGCUGGAAACAACCCAGAUAUCCUGCAACAGAAGAAUGAAUACAGAAAAUGUGGCUCAUUUACACAAUGGAAUACUACUCAGCUCUUAAGAAUGAGGACAUCCUGAGUUUUGCAGGCAAAUGGAACUGGAAAAUAUCGUCCUAAGUGAGAUAACUCAAACUUAAAAGGAGAUGUAUGGUAUGUAUUCACUAAUAAGUAGAUAAUAACUAAAAAUUAUAGAAUACCCAAGAUACAGUCCACAGGAUUCAAAAAGUUCAACAAGCUGAAGGGCCCAAGUGAGGACACCUCAAUUCCACUUGGAAGGCAGAAGAAAGCAAUCACGAAGUGGGGGAGGCAGGGAGGGACCUGUGUGGGAAAGUGUAUGGGGUAGGGAUAAAGGGGAUUAUGAUCUGGUAUUAUGUGGGGGAAAAGGACUGAAGCCCUGAGGGCCAGCAGAAAGAAUAGAAACAGGCAACCUCAGGAGGUUGGAGGUUUGGGGGACCCUCCAGAAUGUACAAGAGACCUAGGAGGUGAGAGACUCUCAGGAUUCAAAAGGAGGGAUCUUAGAUGAAAUACUGUACAAUGGGGAGAGGGAACUUGUCGAGCCUACCUCCAGCAGAAAACAGGGCAUCAAGUGAGGGAAUGGGGUUGCCAUCCCAGUCAAAACUCUGACUCAUAAUUGUUUCUGUCUCAAAGAACUGCAGGGAUGGAUAUGCAGAAGAGCCUGAGGAAAAGGAGGUCUAGUGACUGGCCCAAAGUGGGACCUAGCUGAAGGGGAGAUUCUGACACUAUUAUUGAGUCUAUGGAGCUCUCACAAAAGGGACCUACCAUGACUGUCCUCCUAAAGACCCAAGAAACAGCUGAAAGAGUCAGAUGCAGCUAUCUGCGCCCAACCAGUGGAUAGAAUCUGAUUACCCCUGUGGUUAAAUUAUUGGAAAGCUGGAAGAAGCUGAGGAGGUGGGAGGCUCUGAAGGAGGAAACACAGUCUCAAUUAACCUGGACCUCUUAGAUCUCUCAGAUAGUGGACCACCAACCAGGCAGCAUAUACCAGCUGACAUGAGGCUCCUAACACAUAUACAGCAGAGGACUGUUGGGUCUGGCUUAGUCAGAGAAGAUGCACCUAACCCUCAAGAUUCUGGAGGCCCCAGGGAGUUUAUGGGUCUGGUGGCAUGGGGUGUGGGGACAUCAUGGAGAUAGUGGGGCGGGAAGGAGGUAUGGGAUGGGGUCAGUCAGAAGGUGGACCAGGAGGGGAAUAAAAUCUGGAGUGUAAAAUUUUAAAAAAUUAAAUUAAAAAAAUUUAAAAGGAAAAUAAAAGAUAAAAAUAUUUAAAUAUUUUUCAAAAUGUAAUGCUGGGGAAUUAUUUUUCUAUCUAUAUACCAAAACAGUUAUAAACUCUAUUAUAUAUUAUGCAAACAGAACAUUGCUUUGGUGGUGAAGAAGUAAUAUGUUUAUUAUAUUGAGUCUUUUUAUUUAUAAACAAAGUGUAUCUCUUACAAACAACUCAGAAAAAGUUUGUCAAGUUGAAUCAUCAACUCUCCAUUACACAGC
rnacentral:lncRNA from 1 species